AACGAACGCUGGCGGCAUGCCUAACACAUGCAAGUCGAACGAGACCUCCGUGUCUGGUUGCGCUCGGGGGCGGAACGCGGGGGAAGCUGCCCGUAGGUUCCGAAUACUUCCCUUUAAGGGGUGCUAAUGCAGGAUAAUUUACUCUGACAUACGAUAUAUCGCCUUUGGGUGGGCCCGCGUUCGUUUAGCUGGUUGGUAGGGUAAAAGCCGCUCAAGGCGUCGUUCCAUAGCUGGUCUGAGAGGAAGAUCAGCCACACUGGGACUCGGCCACGGGCCAGACUCCUACGGGAGGCAGCAGAGGGGGAUAUUGGACAAUGGGCGGGAGCCUGAUCCAGCACUGCUGGGUAAGUCAUGAAGGCGUUAGGGUUGUGAAGCUGUUUUACCCGGGGUGAUACUGACGGUACCGGGAGAAUAAGCUCCGGCUAACUCCGUG
rnacentral:rRNA from 1 species